rnacentral:rRNA from 1 species
GAUGAACGCUGGCGGCGUGCCUAAUACAUGCAAGUCGAGCGAACAGAUGAGGAGCUUGCUCCUCUGACGUUAGCGGCGGACGGGUGGGUAACACGUGGAUAACCUACCUAUAAGACUGGGAUAACUUCGGGAAACCGGAGCUAAUACCGGAUAAUAUAUUGAACCGCAUGGUUCAAUAGUGAAAGACGGUUUUGCUGUCACUUAUAGAUGGAUCCGCGCCGCAUUAGCUAGUUGGUAAGGUAACGGCUUACCAAGGCAACGAUGCGUAGCCGACCUGAGAGGGUGAUCGGCCACACUGGAACUGAGACACGGUCCAGACUCCUACGGGAGGCAGCAGUAGGGAAUCUUCCGCAAUGGGCGAAAGCCUGACGGAGCAACGCCGCGUGAGUGAUGAAGGUCUUCGAAUCGUAAAACUCUGUUAUUAGGGAAGAACAAAUGUGUAAGUAACUAUGCACGUCUUGACGGUACCUAAUCAGAAAGCCACGGCUAACUACGUG